CCAACGGCCGUUUUAACGGCCACCAACUUUUCGAAAAGAUGUCUGU
rfam:Crassostrea gigas strain 05x7-T-G4-1.051#20 contig306, whole genome shotgun sequence.